UACGUAGGGGGGCAAGCGUUGUCCGGAAUCAUUGGGCGUAAAGCGCGCGUAGGCGGCCCGGUAAGUCCGCUGUAAAAGUCAAAGGCUCAACCUUUGAAUGCCGGUGGAUACUGUCGGGCUAGAGUCCGGAAGAGGCGAGUGGAAUUCCUGGUGUAGCGGUGAAAUGCGCAGAUAUCAGGAGGAACACCAAUUGCGAAGGCAGCUCGCUGGGACGUAACUGACGCCUGAGACGCGAAAGCGUGGGGAGCAAACAGG
rnacentral:rRNA from 1 species